rnacentral:rRNA from 1 species
AGGUGUUGGGUUAAGUCCCGCAACGAGCGCAACCCUCGUCCUUAGUUGCCACCAUUCAGUUGGGCACUCUAGGGGGACUGCCGGCGUUAAGCCGGAGGAAGGUGGGGACGACGUCAAGUCAUCAUGGCCCUUAUGUCCAGGGCCACACACGUGCUACAAUGGGCGGUACAAAGGGUCGCAAACCCGCGAGGGGGAGCCAAUCCCAAAAAGCCGCUCUCAGUUCGGAUUGGAGUCUGCAACUCGACUCCAUGAAGUUGGAAUCGCUAGUAAUCGCGGAUCAGCACGCCGCGGUGAAUACGUUCCCGGGCCUUGUACACACCGCCCGUCACACCAUGGAAGCCAGCUGUACCGGAAGUCGGUGCGCCAACCCGCAAGGGAGGUAGCCGCCUAUGGUAUGACUGGUGACUGGGGUGAAGUCGUAACAAGGUAA